UACAGGGGGUGCUAGCGUUGUUCGGAAUUACUGGGCGUAAAGGGCGCGUAGGCGGCUUCGUAAGUCAGAUGUGAAAUCCCCGGGCUUAACUCGGGACGUGCAUUUGAAACUGCGAGGCUAGGGUGCAGUAGAGGAUGGUAGAAUUCCCAGUGUAGAGGUGAAAUUCGUAGAUAUUGGGAGGAAUACCGGUGGCGAAGGCGGCCAUCUGGGCUGCAACUGACGCUGAGGCGCAAAAGCGUGGGGAUCAAACAGG
rnacentral:rRNA from 1 species